rnacentral:lncRNA from 1 species
CCCCCGCCGACCUGGAUCCAGUGGGAGCGGGAAGGGAGGCGCUAACCAUUCCCCUCCCAUUCCACCCCUCGCGGCCCCAAAUUCCGCGAGUCAGGUGACCCGGCCCCGGGCUCUGGCCGGGACCUGCGGGGGGUGCUCUCCGCCCUCCAGCCCCCGGCGCAUCUCCCCGGCCCGCGCGUCCCGGCUGUUCGUGGCUUGCUUUUAGUCUCCAGGGAUCGUGGGACCCUUCUCCGCGGAUCUGUUUCAUCCUCUUAACCUGAAGUUAGUGGAAGCCCCCCACGCUCUGACCCCUGGGUUUAGGACGGAUGAGAUCCCAGAUACUGUUUAUUUCUGAUUAACUUCCAAAGUCGUUUGUGGUAGUGGCGAGUGUUUCAAAGUCACGGAUCCAAGCCCCUUCUGACCAGAAUCUAAAAGGGAGUCAGCAGAGAUUUCUCCAAGGGUAAGAGGCUACUACAAUAUUCUUCUCAGUGAGGUUGGGCACCUGCCGAGGAAACGAGGCUAAGAUCUUUGGCAAUAAAUACAUUCCGAAGACCUGCAUCAGUGCCCUGCUUGCAGAGUGUGGCAGAGAAGCUAAGCAUCUCAAACUCGGCAUUACAGACCUGAGAAGGCUGUAAGACUCUCUGGUCCAUCAUCACACGGGAGGAAUAUAAAUCCUCAGAGCUGUGCUGGGCAGCAUGUUAGCUGCUAGCCACACAUGGCUGCUGGACACUUGAAAUGUUGCUAGUCUGAAUUGUGCUGUGCUGUAAAUGCAAUUCACACCAGAUUUCAAAGAGUGCAGAAACUGAGUUUCAAGUAGAUCCAGCAACUUGCCCAAGUCGUAAAACCAGAAAGAGUGGAGCCGAGAAUCAAAGCUUGGAUGCCUGACCAGAGUGGACCUUUGAAACACUCCUCUGUAUAUUGUCUUCAGGCUGCCUGUAUUUACAAACUCUGAUAUUGACCUCAUUACUUCUCCCCGUUCUGCAGGCAGAAGACUGCUAUGAGAGCACUUAGGACCCAAGCGACAUCAGCCUUGGAACAGGCAAAUAAAAAUGGAAAGCUAAUCUUGGUGGCCUUCUCUUCUUCAAAAGGACAUUUUUAAGAUCCAAAUAGCCAUCAGUAUGGCCAAGUUGGUUGUUCGGCUAUGCAUAUCAGAAAUUCCAUAAAAUAUUCUCCAAUUACGGUGCUGGAGGAGGGUAUUAUGAGGAGUUCAUGAACAUCAAGAAGGCAGUUAAUGGGUUAUCAGAAGACUAAGAGAAGUGGUUUCCACAAAGCACAGAGUCAGAAGCAAUAAUGUGGUGUUUGGAGCCACAAGUACACCAGGUGCAGCUUUUCUUGCUUCCUCUACAGUGGAUCACAAUCUUGGCAGCCCAUUUAGAAUCACCUGCUUUUAAAAGUCACCAACUGCCUUGGCCCCAUACCCUAGGAUACUUACUAAAGUGGUCUGGUGUGGGGCCCAAGCAUUGGUAUUUUACAGUCUUUCCCUAGAUCAUCAUUAAAUGGGGCCACUGCUUUAUUGGUUGUCCCAGCCAUGUCAGAGCAUCUGGCUCUUGACUUAGCAUUGCAAGCAGAGGGAAAUUAGGUAAAAAGGGUGGGGUGGUUCUUGCCAUGGACCUUGCAAAAGUUGAUGCUCCAGAAAGAUUUCUUGACAGAGUGAUUCUAAACUGAGUUGCUAUUUUUGUUGGUAUCUCUCUGGUACAUUUGUUUUCUAUUAUGGAGUUAAACCUGCCCUCUGAGAUUCCUGUUUUCUUCAUUGAGGUCAAUUUCUGCUUAUGAGAUAUUUUGUGUUCUUUCUUAUCCAAAUAGUGCACCGGUAGUAAAUCUGUGUACUACUUUUGCUGAUGAAUUAUUUCAAAUCUAUUAAUGGUUUCUUGUCUAUGUUUUUCUUUUCCUUUUUUUUUUUGAGAUGGAG